rnacentral:rRNA from 1 species
UACAGAGGUCUCAAGCGUUGUUCGGAUUCAUUGGGCGUAAAGGGUGCGUAGGCGGCGCGGUAAGUCGGGUGUGAAAUCUCGGAGCUUAACUCCGAAACUGCAUUCGAUACUGCCGUGCUUGAGGACUGGAGGAGGAGACUGGAAUUUACGGUGGUAGCGGUGAAAUGCGUAGAUAUCGUAAGGAAGACCAGUGGCGAAGGCGGGUCUCUGGACGUUCCUGACGCUGAGGA